UCAAUUAGGUACUUCACCUUUUUAAAUGUUAUCACCUUAUUUACCUUAAUACCAAUCAAAUUGACAAUCAAAGUGACUUGGAGUUGGAAGUGCUAGAACAGCUUUCAGAUUGCGAUGAUGACGAAAUUCUUCCGGCGCCUCGUAAAUUUCUACGCGGAUCAACCACUUGCGCUUACUAAAUGAAGCUGAAUUUACAUUUAGAUUUAGAAUCAAUAAAACUGCGGUAGAGUUGAGAGAGCGAAAAAUGAAUGAAUGAGAGUUACUUUUAUCAGAAAUUAUGCCAUUUAUAAAAGUAACCUCAAAGCGUGCAAGCAAUCGGUGAAGAAUUCAGGAAUAGAAAAUGUUACUUUUCUUUAAACGUUCAGGCUGUAUGUGAUGCAGAUUUGAGACUGAUGAAUGUAGUAGCUCAUUGGCCUGGUUCUGCACAUGAUGCUACUUCUAACUAUCUUUAACAAUUCUGUUUUGAGAGGCAAGAAACAAUUAAAUAUUGGAUUCUAGUUUUAAAAUUCAUAGCCUUGGGUAAUUCCAAAUACAUAUACAUAUGUAGAUGGAUUUUUAUCUCGCCUAUAUAUUUAUUGCUUACAGCUCAUUUUGACAUUGGGACCUUUGGCAACCGCUGGUUACUUGUUGAUAGUGCCUAUCCCAAUAGAGCAUAUUUACUAACACCAGUUUUAAAUCCAAGUAAUAGCUCAGAACAAAAAUACAAUGAUGCUCAUAUUGCAACAAGGAAUCUAAUUGAACGUACUUUUGGUGUAUGGAAGUGUCGUUUCCCAGUUAUUUUUUUGCCUCUGCGCUUGUCACUUGCAAAUGUUCAAGCAGUUAUAAUAGCAACAGCAGUUCUACACAAUAUCUGUAGAAAAUACAACAUGCAAGAAAUGCCUUCAGAAGUAGAGUUGCCAGCAAGCCUAGUAACAGAUCCUUCUGUUGCAGACACUCAAUCUCAAGCUCUAGGAUUGCAAGAUAUUGUUGAAAGGAAUUAGCUUAUAAAUGGAUAUUUUUCGACUUUGUAAGAGGAAUUCAAUAUUAUUGAUGAAUUUUUAGUAUCUAAUAUAUAAA
rnacentral:misc_RNA from 1 species